UACGUAGGGGGCAAGCGUUGUCCGGAAUCAUUGGGCGUAAAGCGCGUGUAGGCGGCUCGAUAAGUCUGCUGUGAAAGUCCAGGCUCAACCCUGGGAUGCCGGUGGAUACUGUCGAGCUCGAGUCCGGAAGAGGCGAGUGGAAUUCCUGGUGUAGCGGUGAAAUGCGCAGAUAUCAGGAGGAACACCUGUGGCGAAAGCGGCGCACUGGACCACAACUGACGCUGAGGCGCGAAAGCUAGGGAGCAAACGG
rnacentral:rRNA from 1 species